rnacentral:lncRNA from 1 species
AUCAGCAGAGGCCCCGCCCCCAGCCGCCGCCUCCCGCCCCUGCGCGUGAACGUAGCGGCUUCCCACGCGCUGUGGGGUGUGAGGACCCCAGUCGCUGGGCUGCCAUUCUGGAGCGCCACGAGAGGUGCUACGGGCGAGCGCGAGCCCCCGAGGGCGGCUGGAAGCCCCGGACUGUUGGUAGAGUGGAAGGGGAUAGAGAUCGGUGGGGCGAGCGUCCUCCGUGGCCAGUCCUCCCCUCACCGCCCUUCCUCAGGUAUCGGGAAGAGUUGCCAGCGGCCAUCAGGGGCAGAGCAGAGAAGCAUGUGACAGGGAGCUGGAGCGGCUGCUGGCCUGGCAGCUUGACUGUGAAGGGCGGCCCGCCCCGAGGGCAGGGCCUCCGUAGCGCGGGUCUUCAUUGGGGCGUGGCAUCGGCGGGGCGGGUGUCUCCAGUGGGGGCGGGGCCUCCCUGGUGGGUCCAGCACCCCAGGCACCCUGACCUGGCCUCCCACAGAGGGGCGCUUCCGGCCACGUCUGCAGCAGCUGGUGGCCACCAAUCCCCCUGAGCUGGUUGUGCACUGUUCGACCGCCACCUUCUGCCUCCUGCCAGAUGUGGGGGCUGCAGUCACCGAGCUGUGUGCCCUCUGCGGUGUGGGCCCACCACAGCCUCGGCAGUCCUGGCAGCUGGAGCUCCAGAGAUGGAGGCCUUCAUGUCAGAUGAGGCGGUGGCCACAGUGCCCGGCUGGCCGGCCCCACAGUACACCCUCAGCCAGUGCCUCAGGACAGUGGACUCCCUACCUAGUGGAGACAGCACUGUGGACCUGGGCUGUGGGGCAGAGGCUGUGCCCAGACCUGCUGCCCAACCUUGGCCCCAGCCUGGCCACCCACGAGGAUGCUAGGCCAGCCAAGAAGCAUGGAACCCAGGCCGAGUAAACUUGGCCAUGGCCCAGGCCUGCUCACCUGCCACAGAACCUCAGGCCUCCGGGUCUCACUGGACGGCAGGGAGGCUGAAGAGGAGGCUGGCCACUACGGGAGCUCAAUAAACACUUCCCAAACUCACGCCUGAUCACACACCCGGCCUGACCACACACCUGGCCUGACCACACGCCCGGCCCCCAGCCAUCCCGCGUGCCCCCAGCUCCCACAGACACAGCACCUGUGGCCCAGGAACAACUCCCACGCCUGACCCCAGGUGCAGAGAUGCACAAGGAGGGAAGUCCAGGCCCCCGUGGUGGGGAGGGCCGUCGCGGUCUGUGCAGCAGGUGUGGGGGCCCUGACGAGUCUCCAGAGCCCGGGACAGCCCCCUGGUGCUGUGUAAAAUAUUUAUUAAUUAUCCAAAAAGGCUCA